rnacentral:rRNA from 1 species
UGGGUGAUCUGCCCUGCACUUUGGGAUAAGCCUGGGAAACUGGGUCUAAUACCGAAUAUGACUACGCACUUCCUGGUGUGUGGUGGAAAGCUUUUGCGGUGAGGGAUGGGCCCGCGGCCUAUCAGCUUGUUGGUGGGGUAACGGCUCACCAAGGCUACGACGGGUAGCUGGUCUGAGAGGACGACCAGCCACACUGGAACUGAGAUACGGUCCAGACUCCGUACGGGAGGCA